CCUACGGGUGGCAGCAGUGGGGGAUAUUGCACAAUGGGGGGAACCCUGAUGCAGCGACGCCGCGUGGGUGAAGGAGAGUUUCGGCGCGUAAAGCCCUAUCGGCAGGGAAGAAGAAGGACGGGACCGGACGAAGAAGCCCCGGCGAACUACGGGCCAGCAGCCGCGGUAAUACGGAGGGGGCAAGCGUUAUCCGGAUUUACGGGGUGGAAAGGGGGCGCAGACGGCAGCGCAAGCCAGGAGGGAAAGCCCGGGGCCCAACCCCGGGACUGCUCUUGGAACUGCGCGGCUGGAGGGCAGGAGGGGCCGGCGGACUUCCUGGUGUCGCGGUGAAAUGCGUA
rnacentral:rRNA from 1 species